rnacentral:rRNA from 1 species
CUACGGGAGGCAGCAGUGGGGAAUAUUGGACAAUGGGCGAAAGCCUGAUCCAGCAAUGCCGCGUGUGUGAAGAAGGUCUUCGGAUUGUAAAGCACUUUCGACGGGGACGAUGAUGACGGUACCCGUAGAAGAAGCCCCGGCUAACUUCGUGCCAGCAGCCGCGGUAAU